rnacentral:rRNA from 1 species
GUGCCAGCAGCCGCGGUAAUACAGAGGGUGCGAGCGUUAAUCGGAAUUACUGGGCGUAAAGCGCGCGUAGGCGGCUUUGCAAGUCGGGUGUGAAAUCCCCAGGCUUAACCUGGGAACUGCAUUCGAGACUGCAUUGCUAGAGUAUGGGAGAGGGAAGUGGAAUUUCAGGUGUAGCGGUGAAAUGCGUAGAUAUCUGAAGGAACAUCAGUGGCGAAAGCGACUUCCUGGACCAAUACUGACGCUCAUGUGCGAAAGCGUGGGGAGCAAACAGGAUUAGAUACCCUGGUAGUCCACGCCGCAAACGAUGGGUGCUAGGUGUCGCGGGCUUUGACUCCUGCGGUGCCGUAGCUAACGCAUUAAGCACCCCGCCUGGGAAGUACGGCCGCAAGGCUGAAACUCAAAGAAAUUGACGGGA